CCUACGGGUGGCAGCAGUGGGGAAUAUUGGACAAUGGGCGAAAGCCUGAUCCAGCCAUGCCGCGUGUGUGAAGAAGGCCUUCGGGUUGUAAAGCACUUUCAGUGGGGAAGAAAGCCUUGGGGCUAAUACCCUCGAGGAAGGACAUCACCCACAGAAGAAGCACCGGCUAACUCCGUGCCAGCAGCCGCGGUAAUACGGAGGGUGCGAGCGUUAAUCGGAAUUACUGGGCGUAAAGCGCGCGUAGGCGGUCUGGUAAGCCGGUUGUGAAAGCCCCGGGCUCAACCUGGGAACGGCAUCCGGAACUGUCAGGCUAGAGUGCAGGAGAGGAAGGUAGAAUUCCCGGUGUAGCGGUGAAAUGCGUAGAGAUCGGGAGGAAUACCAGUGGCGAAGGCGGCCUUCUGGACUGACACUGACGCUGAGGUGCGAAAGCGUGGGUAGCAAACAGGAUUAGAUACCCCAGUAGUC
rnacentral:rRNA from 1 species